ACAACUAAAUUCUCAAUCAGAGUUGGUUGUGAAAUUUUCCUACUUGCCUUUCCAGACACUGACUUGGCUGUUUUUGUGGCUCCUCACAGCUGUGUUGUAUGGUCAGUCCCUGCUCUGUUUUCCUUAUCUCCUUAUUGCUUUGUUUUUGUCUUCUCUCCUGCUCAGGUCCUGAGCAUAGCGGAGUGGGUCACCAAACUGUAUGAAGCUGCAGUGAAGAAGGUGCCUCUCAGUGAGGAGUAUCACUCCCACCUCUUCGUGGCCUACGCUCGGGUGGGGGAGUAGAUGCAGCAGUCAGGAAUGGCUUUGUGUAAAAUCAUCACCAAGAACCCAUAUCACUUCUGGUCUGUCAUGAGUCUGGUGAUGCAGGCCACCUCAGCACAAGAUGAGAGAUUGACCCAGACCAUGUUCCUGUUUCUGGCUGAAUGCAUGGCGGAGAAAAAUGGUAAAGGAGGAGAAGAUGGAAGCAGAAGCAGAGGUGAGGUAGUUGUCUGCUGAUAUUGUUUCUGCUAAGCUCAAGGUCUGUUCUGGAUAUGAAAGCUGUUUUUUUUU